rnacentral:rRNA from 1 species
AAUAGAUACCCGGGUAGUCCACGCCGUAAACGAUGAGUGCUAAGUGUUAGAGGGUUUCCGCCCUUUAGUGCUGCAGCUAACGCAUUAAGCACUCCGCCUGGGGAGUACGGUCGCAAGACUGAAACUCAAAGGAAUUGACGGGGGCCCGCACAAGCGGUGGAGCAUGUGGUUUAAUUCGAAGCAACGCGAAGAACCUUACCAGGUCUUGACAUCCCACUGACCGGUAUAGAGAUAUACCUUUCCCUUCGGGGACAGUGGUGACAGGUGGUGCAUGGUUGUCGUCAGCUCGUGUCGUGAGAUGUUGGGUUAAGUCCCGCAACGAGCGCAACCCUUGAUCUUAGUUGCCAGCAUUUAGUUGGGCACUCUAAGGUGACUGCCGGUGACAAACCGGAGGAAGGUGGGGAUGACGUCAAAUCAUCAUGCCCCUUAUGACCUGGGCUACACACGUGCUACAAUGGAUGGUACAAGGGCUGCAAGACUGCGAAGUCAAGCCAAUCCCAUAAACCAUUCUCAGUUCGGAUUGCAGG